UACGUAGGGUGCGAGCGUUAAUCGGAAUUACUGGGCGUAAAGCGUGCGCAGGCGGUGAUGUAAGACAGAUGUGAAAUCCCCGGGCUCAACCUGGGAACUGCAUUUGUGACUGCAUCGCUGGAGUGCGGCAGAGGGGGAUGGAAUUCCGCGUGUAGCAGUGAAAUGCGUAGAUAUGCGGAGGAACACCGAUGGCGAAGGCAAUCCCCUGGGCCUGCACUGACGCUCACGCACGAAAGCGUGGGGAGCAAACAGG
rnacentral:rRNA from 1 species